UGGGAAUUUUGGACAAUGGGCGAAAGCCUGAUCCAGCAAUGCCGCGUGUGUGAAGAAGGCCUUCGGGUUGUAAAGCACUUUUGUCCGGAAAGAAAUCCUCUGGGUUAAUACCUCGGGGGGAUGACGGUACCGGAAGAAUAAGCACCGGCUAACUACGUGCCAGCAGCCGCGGUAAUACGUAGGGUGCAAGCGUUAAUCGGAAUUACUGGGCGUAAAGCGUGCGCAGGCGGUUUUGUAAGACGGAUGUGAAAUCCCCGGGCUUAACCUGGGAACUGCAUUCGUGACUGCAAGGCUAGAGUAUGGCAGAGGGGGGUAGAAUUCCACGUGUAGCAGUGAAAUGCGUAGAGAUGUGGAGGAAUACCGAUGGCGAAGGCAGCCCCCUGGGCCAAAUACUGACGCUCAUGCACGAAAGCGUGGGGAGCAAACAGGAUUAGAUACCCUGGUAGUCCACGCCCUAAACGAUGUCAACUAGUUGUUGGGGAUUCAUUUCCUUAGUAACGUNCUAACGCGUGAAGUUGACCGCCUGGGGAGUACGGUCGCAAGAUUAAAAGCUC
rnacentral:rRNA from 1 species